rnacentral:rRNA from 1 species
GACGAACGCUGGCGGCGUGCUUAACACAUGCAAGUCGAACAGUGGCGGACGGGUGGGUAAUUCUUGGGAACCUGGGUUAUGUAGGGGGAUAACUACGGGAAACUGUAGCUAAUACCGCGUAACAUAGGUUGAGCCCAAGGGGGAGUAGGUAGUUGGUGAGGUAAAGGCUCACCAAGGCGACGAUCUCUAGCUGGUCUGAGAGGAUGACCAGCCACACUGGGACUGAGACACGGCCCAGACUCCUACGGGAGGCAGCAGUAGGGAAUCUUGCGCAAUGGGCGCAACCCUGACCGAGCCACGCCGCGUGAGUGAAGAAGGUCUUCGGGUCGUAAAGCUCUGUCGUUAGCGAGGCGGUAACUACACAAGAAGCCCCGGCUAACUACGUGCCAGCAGCCGCGGUAAUAC